rnacentral:rRNA from 1 species
GAACGAGAACGCACCCUUCGGGGUGUUAUUAGAGUGGCGAACGGGUGAGUAACACGUGAAUAACCUGCCUUGUACUUUGGGAUAACUAUUGGAAACGAUAGCUAAUACCGAAUACUCCGCUUGGGGCUCCUGCUCUGAGCGGGAAAGAUUUUUCGGUACAAGAUGGAUUCGCGGCCCAUUAGCUUGUUGGCGGGGUAAUGGCCCACCAAGGCAACGAUGGGUAGCCGGGUUGAGAGACUGAUCGGCCACAUUGGGACUGAGAUACGGCCCAGACUCCUACGGGAGGCAGCAGUGGGGAAUUUUGCGCAAUGGGCGAAAGCCUGACGCAGCAACGCCGCGUGCGGGAUGACGGCCUUCGGGUUGUAAACCGCUUUCAGUGGAGAAGAAUUUUUGACGGUACCCACAGAAGAAGCUCCGGCUAAAUACGUGCCAGCAGCCGCGGUAAUACGUAUGGAGCAAGCGUUAUCCGGAUUUAUUGGGCGUAAAGCGCGCGUAGGCGGAUUGUUAAGUGGAGUGUUAAACCCCGGGGCUCAACCCCAUUAGGGACGUUGCACGACCAAACUGGCAGUCUUGAGUGUGGUAGAGGUAAGUGGAAUUCCCAGUGUAGCGGUGGAAUGCGUAGAUAUUGGGAAGAACACCAACAGCGAAGGCAGCUUACUGGACCACCACUGACGCUGAGGUGCGAAAGCUAGGGGAGCAAACAGGAUUAGAUACCCUGGUAGUCCUAGCCGUAAACGAUGGGCACUAGUUGUUGGAGGGGCAACCCUUCAGCGACGCAGCUAACGCAUUAAGUGCCCCGCCUGGGGAGUACGAUCGCAAGAUUAAAACUCAAAGGAAUUGACGGGGGCCCGCACAAGCAGCGGAGCAUGUGGCUUAAUUCGAAGCAACGCGAAGAACCUUACCAGGGUUUGACAUAUAAGUGAAGCUGGGGAAACCCAGUGGCCGAAAGGAGCUUAUACAGGUGGUGCAUGGCUGUCGUCAGCUCGUGUCGUGAGAUGUUGGGUUAAGUCCCGCAACGAGCGCAACCCUUGUCAAAUGUUACUAACAGGUCAAGCUGAGGACUCAUUUGAGACUGCCGGCGUUAAGCCGGAGGAAGGUGGGGAUGACGUCAAGUCAUCAUGCCCUUUAUAUCCUGGGCUGCACACGUGCUACAAUGGCCGGUACAACGGGCUGCGAAACCGCGAGGUUGAGCGAAUCCCUUAAAACCGGUCUCAGUUCGGAUUGGAGGCUGCAAUUCGCCUCCAUGAAGUAGGAGUUGCUAGUAAUCGCGGAUCAGCACGCCGCGGUGAAUACGUUCCCGGGC